rnacentral:sRNA from 1 species
GCCAGGCACGGUGGCGCACACCUGUAAUCCUAGCGGCUCGGGAGGCAGAGGCAGGAGGAUCACAAGUUCAAAGCCAGCCUCAGCAACAGUGAGGCACUAAGCAACUCGGUGAGACCCUGUCUCUA